CAAGACCUUCAUUUAGCUGAGGAAAGAGGGAUCCAACUUUAUGAAAAUUUUGAUAUUGAUGAAGAGACCAGAUUUUCAUCUGUAUAUAGAGGUAUAGUGAUUGACGAUAGUGGAUAUGAUGAAACUGAGGACAUGAUGUUGGAUUCCCGCAAUAGUGAAACCUUUGGAGGUACAUCUGCGCCUUCUACUAUGAAGUCUGCAGAUUUGACCGAUGGGAAGAGUAAUGGAGGAGCUCGAGUUUUAUCAAGUUCUUCUUUGGAUGAGGCACAGUGUUCUCAUUCAAGUGCGGGUGCAGAUCAUCAUUCAGGUUCUUAUGAGCAUGCUAGACAGCUGGCAUCUGAGCCACCUUCUAAAAGUUUGUCCACUUCAGAGAGUGAGAGCAGGAUCCAAGAGAACUAUUGUGGUGAACAGGGAGCAAAUGACCGCAUGGAGGAGUGUGUAGAAGAGCAAACUCAGGUUGAAGAUGCUCAUUUGCCAACUUGUGAGGAUUCUCUUUCAUCAUUGAAUGAAAAGAAAGAUGACUCUGAUAAAGGGGUACUAUCCCCUAAUGCAACUGCCUAUGCUCCUUCAUCCAAUGUUUCUUCAAAAAGUUACGAAAAGACAAGUUCUUCUGUUGCACUUUUAGAAGGUGCACCAUCUGUCAAAGGAGUUGGAGAAGCACAACAUUUAAAUUCUCGUGGACGACCUGUCAGUUCUACAUCUUCACAUUCUGAUUGUGUAGGCACUGUCUCAGUUACCAAUGGCCGCGGUUUAUCACCAAGCUCAUCAGUUGGUUCAUUAUCAUCAGA
rnacentral:misc_RNA from 1 species